rnacentral:snRNA from 1 species
AUGCUUACCUGGCAGGGAAGAUAUGCUCACAAAGAUGGUUUUCCCAGGGCGAGGCUCAUCCAUUGCAUUCCAGAUGUGGUGACCCCUGCAACUUUUGUUCUCUUCUGAUUAAAAUAAAUAAAUACAUAUUUAUUUACCAAGCACCUGGUAUGUGCCAGGCACUGUC